rnacentral:rRNA from 1 species
UACGUAGGGGGCAAGCGUUGUCCGGAUUUAUUGGGCGUAAAGAGCGUGUAGGCGGCCAGGUAGGUCCGUUGUGAAAACUCGAGGCUCAACCUCGAGACGUCGAUGGAAACCAUCUGGCUAGAGUCCGGAAGAGGAGAGUGGAAUUCCUGGUGUAGCGGUGAAAUGCGCAGAUAUCAGGAAGAACACCCGUGGCGAAGGCGGCUCUCUGGGACGGUACUGACACUGAGGCGCGAAAGCGUGGGGAGCGAACAGG